UACGUAGGGGGCAAGCGUUGUCCGGAUUUAUUGGGCGUAAAGAGCAUGUAGGCGGCCAGACAGGUCCGUUGUGAAAACUCGAGGCUCAACCUCGAGACGCCGAUGGAAACCGUCUGGCUAGAGUCCGGAAGAGGAGAGUGGAAUUCCUGGUGUAGCGGUGAAAUGCGCAGAUAUCAGGAAGAACACCCGUGGCUAAGGCGGCUCUCUAGUACGGUACUGACGCUGAGACGCGAAAGCGUGGGGAGCGAACAGG
rnacentral:rRNA from 1 species